rnacentral:piRNA from 1 species
UAGGAAGUAAAGGCUAGCCUGGGUAGUG